UUUAUUUAUUGCUUGUUUUCUCUGACUAAUACAUAGUUUAAGAGUAUAAGACUCCGGCAAGCUCACAUCGUCAUAUUAAUUUCAAUGGCGAUGGCCGUUUCCAACGUCUUGCCGAAGCAACAGUGGAAUUGAUCACGGGUGGGAGUUUCCUGCAGAACAGGAAUACUCGGUAAUGAUCCUUCCGCAGGUUCACCUACGGAAA
rnacentral:misc_RNA from 1 species